AGCACCUCCAACUUCCCCUCUCUCCUCAGCUGCCUUAAAGGCAUGCAAGUCGGCCUCCAGUUUGAAGGUCUUAUAAGCAUUUUUUGAGUGUCCUGACCCAGUAAUUAAAAAGCAGCUUGUGAAUCCUAUCUGAGCUGGUGUGAAGGACUUCUUAAAUGAUGACCCUGGCAAUGAACGACUACCUGUGACUCUCCUCCUUGCCAGACCCAUGGAGGACCAUGGUGGAGCAGUGAUGCAAGUGCAGCCCAUGGAAGAUUCCAUGCCAGAACAGAUGGAUGUCUAUGGACCUCCCAGAGCAGGGGGAUGUGGGUAAGGAAAGGUGGGUAUUCACAGUUUACAUGCAGAAGCCUCAUGGGUGGGGUUGCAAACCCUGGUGCUGUCCAGCAUUGUGUUGCACCCCUGUAACAACACCCCUGCAUUGCAAGUGUGUGGUCUGUCACAAGCACCUACCUCCAAACAGACAGGGACAAAAAAAUGAACAAAGGGCAAAGCAAUGAACAGUGCAUCAGCUGCCAUGGAAGACUCGCUGCUGAUGGUUCAGGAGUGCCAGAGUUUGGAAUUGCUGGGAAAGCCAACAGGGCCAUGAAUGCCUUGAGUGUUAUCUCUGAGUAAGGGAGGGCAGAGCACCUGGCUCAGAGAAAUUUUUGGUUUAAUUUAAGAGCUUUUAUAGAGCUUUUAUAGAUAGGUUUUAAAUUUCAGAAGCAUGAUUUCAGUGAAGCGAUAGGGGUGAAAGCCUAUGAAAAUGAGAAGCAAAGGUUAAUGGUUUUGGUUGUAGACCAUGAUGUUUUGGAACUGAAGACAAGAAAGUUUUGAGAAGUGCUGUGCUUCAUAAUUAACUGAGGAAUUUUAAACUAAUGCAUACUCCUUGUUACAUUUAAAAAUAUUACAGACAUAAUUUUCCAGUGGAAAGCUUUUGUUAUUUGGUAUUUUAUUUCAGCUCAACAUGGUCAAUGCAGUGUGAUAGUAAAAUAUCAAUAUGAAAUUCAUACAAAAUAAAGACUGGUGGACAAAUGACAUGACAAAUGGAAAUGUUAUUAACAUGCUAUUAAUAUACAUAAGAUGCAAGAAUAAAUCUUCAUUAAGUCAUUAUAUUGUAAAGAAUGAAGAAAUUUUGUUAAGUUCAUUGCAACAGUAUUAAAUGUUUAGUGGGAUAUCCAGAGAACGAAAAAUUUAAAAUGUAGAAAAUGAAAUUUUGGUGGAAGAACAGAAGCUUUCUCAAAGAAAAGCUGUAGACCAAGAUUCUUGGUCUUAGACCAAGAGUAAAUUGAUAAGGAUCAAUAUGGUAAACUAGUAAAAAACCUAACUUUAAGACGUCUUCAGUGGCUUAAGAUAAAUGUAAUGCAGAUAAGAAUCUAUGUUCUUAUAGAUAAGGAGAACUUGGCAAUUUUUCCUAAAGAUGUAUUAUUCUUUUUCUCAUUAAAACAGUGAAAAUUACAUCCAUUUCAUCAAUUUCCUUACAAACCUCAGAAAUAAAGCUCACACUUGGUAUUUGCAGUUGAUCUAGCUCUGGUGUUUAUUGAUUCUUUAGUAAUAUUUUUAGUUAAAAAAGUAAAAUUUGUCAGAAAAUAACUUGGGAUUCUUUCCUUUCUGAAGGUAAUAUUUUCAGAAGACAUGCCCUAUUGACAUUGGAGUGACACUGAAACAGCUUCGUUUAUAUCCAUUCAUUAGUAUAAACAUCAAACUUAUACUCAUUUGUUUAAGUUGUAAUCGUAUGUCUGUUUUUCAUUUACAAUUACUCUUACACAGUUACAUCCCCAUACAAAUGAUAAUCCACAUUACCUGACUUUGUAUUACAAAGCUAUUCCAGCAAAAAAAAUGG